AGAGUUUGAUCAUGGCUCAGAAUCAACGCUGGCGGCGUGCCUAACACAUGCAAGUCGAACGCGAAAGGGGCUUCGGCCCUGAGUAGAGUGGCGAACGGGUGAGUAACGCGUGGGUGACCUACCUUCGAGUGGGGGAUAACGUUCCGAAAGGAACGCUAAUACCGCAUGAAGUUCCGGGAUUGAAUACCUGGAAACCAAAGCCGGGGACCGUAAGGCCUGGCGCUUGGAGAGGGGCCCGCGUCUGAUUAGCUAGUUGGCGGGGUAAUGGCCCACCAAGGCGACGAUCAGUAGCCGGCCUGAGAGGGCGGACGGCCACACUGGGACUGAGACACGGCCCAGACUCCUACGGGAGGCAGCAGUGGGGAAUUGUUCGCAAUGGGCGCAAGCCUGACGACGCAACGCCGCGUGGGGGAUGAAGGUCUUCGGAUUGUAAACCCCUGUCGAGCGGGACGAAAGGCCCACGACCUAACACGUCGUGGGAGUGACGGUACCGCUAAAGGAAGCCACGGCUAACUCUGUGCCAGCAGCCGCGGUAAUACAGAGGUGGCAAGCGUUGUUCGGAAUUACUGGGCGUAAAGGGCGCGUAGGCGGCCUUCUAAGUCAGACGUGAAAUCCCCCGGCUCAACCUGGGAACUGCGUCUGAUACUGGAAGGCUUGAAUGCGGGAGAGGGAUGUAGAAUUCCAGGUGUAGCGGUGAAAUGCGUAGAUAUCUGGAGGAAUACCGGUGGCGAAGGCGGCAUCCUGGACCGACAUUGACGCUGAGGCGCGAAAGCUAGGGUAGCAAACGGGAUUAGAUACCC
rnacentral:rRNA from 1 species